AUGAUAGCCCAUUGAGAUGACUUCUAUCUGCAGGUAAUUUGUCAGGCUUAUGUAAGACUUCAUUUAAGAGGCAUUGCCUUGGCAUGCAGACAGCUUCCAGACUUUACACACCAGCAGAAACAUGUUAUCUGAAGAUGCAAGGAAGCAAAUUAAAUUCAUUGCUCAGCACCCGGCCGCAGACAAGUGCUGCGAUACAUUUUCGGAAUAAAGCUUUUCUUAAAAAUAAUUUUUUUUUUCUUUUUGAAAAAAGGCCAUUUGAAAUUCAGCCUCCCCAGCUUACAUCUUGAUGGCUUCCAACCCAAGGAAACUUGCAAUGUAUGGGAGUCACAAGCCUUAUUUCAAGCCCAGUUAUUCUUGUCCUCUUAGCUGGGAUAAGCAGCGUCAUUAACGGAACAAAUAAUUUCCCUUUGCAGUUGUGCUGAGCAGGCUGAGUGCCCGGGGCUUGGCGUGAGGAGAGGGGGAAAAGUUCUCAUCACCACAGGGCCUGCAGACGUGGAUAAGGUGGCAUAGCAGGUGUUAGCUGUCCUGGUGUUAUUGGAGUCUCGUUUCUCUGGGGUUCAGGUUACUGCAAGCUUCACUCAUCUUCCUGCUGCAGGACUGACUUUGGGGAGCAGGCUGGAGGCAUGAGGAAGCCCAGAGCUGGACCCCAACCCCAAGUCUGAACCGUUGAUCUGGGGAGCAAGUUAUGUGGCAAAACCCGUCCAGUCGUGACGCCAGCCCAGCCUCCAUCAGCUCUGGCGUCUGAGUGGCAGUUGAAGGGCAUCUAAUUAGGCGCCCUCGGCCACAGAGGUGCGGGAUGUGGCUGUGGGUUCAAGCAGUAUCUUCGCUGAGAAAGCCUUUCUCCCAUUUGACUUGGAAGGAGAGUGGGAGCAGGUCAGGCUGAGGGGGUGGACAUGCCAGCAGGUCCCGAACGCCAGGAGACAGCAGGGUAAGUGUCCAGCCACCCCUGUGACGGACGCUCUCGGUGUGGACGCCAAAGGGGAUUUUGUUACAGCUCAGGUGCGGGUCACGGCCUGUCCAUCUCCAGGCAUGGGCUUCCCACAGCCAACUUUUCUUUAAGUUCUAAUAGAGCAUUGUUAAGCGUGAGAUCUCACAAAUGUGCUUUUCCAAUAUUUCGCAUACAUCUUGAAUUGGCAGCUAAAGACAAGG
rnacentral:lncRNA from 1 species